AUUGACCGCUGGCGGCAGGCCUAACACAUGCAAGUCGAGCGGAGCGGCGGACGGGUGAGUAAUGCCUAGGAAUCUGCCUGGUCGUGGGGGAUAACGUAAGGAGACGGGCGCUAAUACCGCCUACUCUAAGAUGAGCCUAGGUCGGAUUAGCUAGUUGGUGGGGUAAAGGCCUACCAAGGCGACGAUCCGUAACUGGUCUGAGAGGAUGAUCAGUCACACUGGAACUGAGACACGGUCCAGACGCCUACGGGAGGCAGCAGUGGGGAAUAUUGGACAAUGGGCGAAAGCCUGAUCCAGCCAUGACGCGUGUGUGAAGAAGGUCGUCGGAUUGUAAAGCACUUUAAGUUGGGAGGCGUUACCAACAGAAUAAGCACCGGCUAACUUCGUGCCAGCAGCCGCGGUAAUAC
rnacentral:rRNA from 1 species